rnacentral:rRNA from 1 species
UGGGGGAUAUUGCACAAUGGAGGAAACUCUGAUGCAGCGACGCCGCGUGAGGGAAGACGGUCUUCGGAUUGUAAACCUCUGUCUUUGGGGAAGAAGAUGACGGUACCCAAAGAGGAAGCUCCGGCUAACUACGUGCCAGCAGCCGCGGUAAUACGUAGGGAGCGAGCGUUGUCCGGAAUUACUGGGUGUAAAGGGAGCGUAGGCGGGCGAGAAAGUUGAAUGUUAAAUCUACCGGCUUAACUGGUAGCUGCGUUCAAAACUUCUUGUCUUGAGUGAAGUAGAGGCAGGCGGAAUUCCUAGUGUAGCGGUGAAAUGCGUAGAUAUUAGGAGGAACACCAGUGGCGAAGGCGGCCUGCUGGGCUUUAACUGACGCUGAGGCUCGAAAGCGUGGGGAGCAAACAGG